GACGAACGCUGGCGGCGUGCCUAACACAUGCAAGUCGAACGGAGCUAUUUUGGAAGUCCUUGGGCGGAAGAGAUAGCUUAGUGGCGAACGGGUGAGUAACGCGUGAGCAACCUGCCUUUCAGAGGGGGACGAACAGUUGGAAACGACUGCUAAUACCGCAUAAUGCAACGAAGCCGCAUGACUUUGUUGCCAAAGAUUUAUCGCUGAAAGAUGGGCUCGCGUCUGAUUAGAUAGUUGGUGGGGUAACGGCCUACCAAGUCGACGAUCAGUAGCCGGACUGAGAGGUUGAAACGGCCACAUUGGGACUGAGAUACGGCCCAGACUCCUACGGGAGGCAGCA
rnacentral:rRNA from 1 species